rnacentral:rRNA from 1 species
UACGUAGGGGGCUAGCGUUGUCCGGAUUUAUUGGGCGUAAAGAGCGUGUAGGCGGCCGGAUAGGUCCGUUGUGAAAACUCGAGGCUCAACCUCGAGACGCCGAUGGAAACCAUCUGGCUAGAGUCCGGAAGAGGCGAGUGGAAUUCCUGGUGUAGCGGUGAAAUGCGCAGAUAUCAGGAAGAACACCAAUGGCGAAAGCAGCUUUCUGGGACGGUACUGACGCUGAGACGCGAAAGCGUGGGGAGCGAACAGG